AUGGCCCCGCUGCGCCAAGUGUUUCCCACCUGUUUGGUACCUCAGUUGGGAAUUUGUGUGUCAGCAUGUGCCUGGGGCAUGGUGAAGAGCAGGGAUGGACAAAGCAGUGUCCCAUUGCUGCUCCUUGUGAGCCAGGCCCUGUACCUCUCCUGUUGCUCUGCAAGUGCUGUAGCAACUCGUUCCGAUCCUCCUCUUGCUCCUGCCGGUGUCACUGUGUUGAUUGCUGGAGACAACGCCCAAGUCUUCUGCUGCAGAUCAGCAUGAACUAAGACCAAAGACUUGAACGCCAAGACACUGAACACAGCUUUUCGAGACCGAUGGGUUGUCUGGCCUCAUGUCUUACCUACACCCAUCAAGUCAGCCAUGGUGUUUGGUGGUUUCUCUCCCAUUUUGACAUCCACCUUUGUUUCUUGCUGCCCAAAUGAACUGCUCAGCACUUGAGCAUGAUUUGGGGCAGUAGUUGGGGUAGAAAGAGUUGGGUCUUGUAAGAAGCCUGACUUUCAGGCAGAAGCAGUUUCAGAUGGGCUGCACUAGCACCAGAAAACCCUUUUGCUUUGCUGGUGAAGGAAAAUGGUUCAGAGAAGUCGACAUUUUUCUGAGAAAACACAUCUUAAAGAAAUUGCAUAUUGGGUGGAGACAUUAAAAAGCCACAUAAAAUCUGCAAACAGCUGUAGGAUUUUUAAGAACCUCACAAUAUGGUGUUUUUGUCCCAAGCAGGAGCCCCUGUCGGUGUGAAAGGGGGGCAAAUAAUUUAAUUAUCUCCGAGUAAUUUUCCUGUCUUCCAUUUCAUACUUCCGAAGACGCAGGGGGAUGUGAGUGCAUGUGCGUGUUUGCAGUUAUGUUUUGUUCUGGUGAUUUAAUUUAAGCAGAACUAAAACUCAAAUUGAAAUUAGUGUGAAAAUGUAGUAGCAUUGUAGAGACAGUCCUGAAGGGAAGAAAAAAAAAUCCUUUCCGUGUUGCUAGCUUCAACAGGGAAUUUCCUUUUGUGUUCUGAGCUAAUCUUCUUUAUAGUAUGCCUCCAUUGUUAAACAUUUAAGGACCUAGGCUGCAAAGAAUUGAUUAAAAAUCUUGGCAAUUGCUGUGUGCCAUUAAACUUCAUUUUUGCUGUAACGUACUUUGCUAAUUUGCUAUGAUGUGUUUGAUUUAGUAGUUCAUUUAGCCAUUGCCAGCAGCAUUAGAGGAAAAGGUAAAUUUUCAGCUUGUUGACUGGUUUAAUAAUUUGAUUUAGUCUUUCCUCUUUGACGAGUUUACACCAAUGACAUUA
rnacentral:lncRNA from 1 species